GUGAGUGUUUAUUAGAAAUGACAACAGUUUCCCAAAGUGGUUGUACUAGUUGUACACUCCACUUUGGUUUUAAGCAUUUCCCUGGUUACUAAUGAGGUUGAGCAGCCUUUUAUAUGUUUUUUGGCCAUUUGGAUGUCUUCUGUAUGAAGAGCUCAUUUAAGUCUUUUGGCUAAUUUUCUGGUAGGUGUUCUUUGUUUUAUUGGUUUGUAUAAGGGAUAAAUAUAUUGAUCCCCUCCCUUCCCUGCCACAUAUCUGUGUUGCAGAUACCUAUUACUAGCUAGUGGCUAGCCUUUCCUUUUUAUUCUCUUAGAGGUAUCUCUUCACUAACAGAAAAAUUUUUAAAAUUUUUAUUUGUAAUUAUUAUGGUUACACAAUAGACAUACAUAUUUAUGGGGUAGAUGUGAUUUUGAUGCAAGCAUACAAUGCAUAAUUAUCAGAUUAGGGUAGAUCACCCCACCACCUGAAGCAUUUAUCUUUUUUUUUUUUUUUUUUUUUUGAGAUGGAGUUUCGCUCUUGUUGCCCAGGCUGGAGUGCAAUGGUGCAAUCUUGGCUCACCACAACCUCCGCCUCCCAGGUUCAAGCUAUUUUCCUGCCUCAGCCUCCCAAGUAGCUGGGAUUACAAGCGUGCACCACCACGCCUGGCUAAUAUUGUAUUUUUAGUAGAGAUGGGGUUUCUCCAUGUUGGUCAGACUGGUCUCGAACAUCCGACCUCAGGUGAUCUGCUUGCCUCAGCCUCUUAAAGUGCCGGGAUUACAGACAUGAGCCACCGUGCCCAGCCAGCAUUUAUCAUUUCUUCAUAUUAGGGAUAUUCUAAUUCUAGUCUUUUAGUCAUUUUGAAAUAUAAAAUUAUUGUUAACUAUAGUUGCCCUAUUGUGCUGCUGAACACUAGACUUACUCAUUUUUUUAAACUAUAUUUUUGUACCCAUUCACCAAUCACUCUUUGUUUCCCACUUCUCUUCCCACUUCCUUUCCUGUCCUCUAUCUACAUGGGUUCAAUUUUUUUUCUUUAGCUUCCACAUAUGGGUGAGAACAUGCAAUGUUUGUCUUUCUGUGUCUGGCUUAUUUCACUUAACAUAAUGUCCUCCAGUUUUAUCCAUGUUGUUGCAAAUGACAGGACUGCAUUCAUUUUGAUGGUUGAAUAGUACUGCAUUGUGUGUAAGUGCCACAUUUUCUUUAUCCAUUCAUCUGUUGAUGGACACUUAGGUUAAUUCCAUAUUUUGGCUAUUGUGAAUAGUGCUGCAAUAAACAUAGGAGUGCAGAAAUCUCUGUGAUACACUGAUUUCCUUUCUUUUUGGUGUGUACCCAGCAGUGGGAUUGCUGGAUCACAUGGUAGUUCUAUUUUUAGUUUUCUUGAGGACCCUCCACAUAGUGAUUGUACUAAUUUACAUUCCCAACAACAGUGUACGAGGGUUCCCCUUUUUCCACAUCCUUGCCGUCAUCUGUCAUUACCUGUCUUUUUGUUUGUUUGCUUGUUUGUUUUUGAGAUGGGGUCUUGCUCUGUCACCAGGCUGGAGUGCAGUGGCGCGAUCUCGGCUUACUGCAACCUUCCUCUCCUGGGUUCAAGCGAUUCUCCUGCCUCAGCCUCCCAAGGAGCUGGGACUACAGGCACCCACCACCAUGCUCAGCUAAUUUUUGUACUUUUAGUAGAGACGGGGUUUCACCAUUUUGGCCAGGAUGGUCUCGAUCUCUUGACCUCGUGAUCCACCCGCCUCAGCCUCCCAAGGAACUGGGACUACAGGCGCCCACCACCACACUCAGCUAAUUUUUAUACUUUAAUAGAGAUGGGGUUUCACUAUUUUGGCCAGGAUGGUCUCGCUCUCUUGACCUCGUGAUCCACCCGUCUCAGCCUCCCAAAGUGCAUUACCUGUCUUUUUGAUAAAAGCCAUUUAAACUGGAGUGAGAUGAUAUCUCAUUGUAGUUUUGGUUUGCAUUUCUCUGAUUAACAGAAAUUCUUAAUUUUAAUGUAGUUGAAUGUUUCUGUCUUUUACUUUGUAAUUAGAUGUUUUUGUAUCCUGGUGUGAAGAUAAUCUAUAUUAUUUUCUGUUACUGUUUUGCCUUUCACAUUUAGAUCAACAAUCUCUGGAAUUUUUGUGUGUGUUGUGAGAUGGGGUCCAUUUGUUUUCCUAGAUGACACGAUGGUGAUGAUGUUUAGUUCCAUUUAUUGAAAAGGCCGUCUCCUCCUGCUCAAUAGAGCUACCUUGGUCAUAAAUCAGUAGAUACGAGGGUUUCACCAUGUUGGCCAGGCGGGUUUUGAACUACUGACCUCAAGUGAUCCGCCCACCUCGGCCUGCUAAAGUGCUAGGAUUACAGACGUGAGCCACCGCACCCAGUCACUAUCUCACUUCUUUUGCUUAACAUGUCUAUGAGAUUUAUUUAUGUUGUAUAUUGCAAUUCUUUUUUAUUGUGUAGGAUUAUGUUGUGUUAAUUUAUCACAUUUUAUCUGUUUUACUGUUGAUGGAAAUUUUGGUUGUUUCUGUAUUUUGGCUAAAAUGAAUAAAACUGCUAAAAACAUUUUGUACAUGUUUGGUGGACCUACUCAUUUUCUGUUGG
rnacentral:lncRNA from 10 species